rnacentral:rRNA from 1 species
UACGUAGGGUCCGAGCGUUGUCCGGAAUUAUUGGGCGUAAAGGGCUCGUAGGCGGUUAGUCACGUCGGGAGUGAAAACUCAGGGCUCAACCCUGAGCGUGCUUCCGAUACGGGCUGACUAGAGGUAUGCAGGGGAGAACGGAAUUCCUGGUGUAGCGGUGGAAUGCGUAGAGAUCCGGAAGAACACCGGUGGCGAAGGCGGCCUGCUGGGACAUUGCUGACGCUGAGGCGCGACAGCGUGGGGAGCAAACAGG